GAUGAACGCUGGCGGCGUGCUUAACACAUGCAAGUCGAACGGAAAGGCCCAAGCUUGCUUGGGUACUCGAGUGGCGAACGGGUGAGUAACACGUGGGUGAUCUGCCCUGCACUUCGGGAUAAGCCUGGGAAACUGGGUCUAAUACCGGAUAGGACCACAUGUUGGAGGGUGUGGUGGAAAGUUUUUCGGGGUGGGUUGAGCUCGCGGGCUAUCAGCUUGUUGGUGGGGUAAUGGCCUACCAAGGCGUCGGCGGGUAGCCGGCCAGUGGGGGUGUAAGGCGGCAGUGGGACUGAGGGACGGCACAGAUGCCGACGGGAGGCCGAAGGGGGGAAUAUUGCACAAGGGGCGCAAGGCUGAUGAAGAGGGGCCGCGGGGGGGAAGACGGUUUUCGGGGUGAAAACGCCUUUCGAGAGGGACGAAGCGUUAUGUGACGGUACCUGGAGAAGAAGCACCGGCUAACUACGUG
rnacentral:rRNA from 1 species